AGACCCGAAACCCGGUGAUCUAGCCAUGGGCAGGUUGAAGGUUGGGUAACACUAACUGGAGGACCGAACCGACUAAUGUUGAAAAAUUAGCGGAUGACCUGUGGCUGGGGGUGAAAGGCCAAUCAAACCGGGAGAUAGCUGGUUCUCCCCGAAAGCUAUUUAGGUAGCGCCUCGUGAAUUCAUCUCCGGGGGUAGAGCACUGUUUCGGCUAGGGGGCCAUCCCGGCUUACCAACCCGAUGCAAACUGCGAAUACCGGAGAAUGUUAUCACGGGAGACACACGGCGGGUGCUAACGUCCGUCGUGAAGAGGGAAACAACCCAGACCGCCAGCUAAGGUCCCAAAGUCAUGGUUAAGUGGGAAACGAUGUGGGAAGGCCCAGACAGCCAGGAUGUUGGCUUAGAAGCAGCCAUCAUUUAAAGAAAGCGUAAUAGCUCACUGGUCGAGUCGGCCUGCGCGGAAGAUGUAACGGGGCUAAACCAUGCACCGAAGCUGCGGCAGCGACGCUUAUGCGUUGUUGGGUAGGGGAGCGUUCUGUAAGCCUGUGAAGGUGGCCUGUGAGGGUUGCUGGAGGUAUCAGAAGUGCGAAUGCUGACAUAAGUAACGAUAAAGCGGGUGAAAAGCCCGCUCGCCGGAAGACCAAGGGUUCCUGUCCAACGUUAAUCGGGGCAGGGUGAGUCGACCCCUAAGGCGAGGCCGAAAGGCGUAGUCGAUGGGAAACGGGUUAAUAUUCCCGUACUUGGUGUUACUGCGAAGGGGGGACGGAGAAGGCUAUGUUGGCCGGGCGACGGUUGUCCCGGUUUAAGCGUGUAGGUGUGUGUUCCAGGUAAAUCCGGUUCACUUUAACACUGAGGCGUGAUGACGAGGCACUACGGUGCUGAAGCAACAAAUGCCCUGCUUCCAGGAAAAGCCUCUAAGCAUCAGGUAACAUCAAAUCGUACCCCAAACCGACACAGGUGGUCAGGUAGAGAAUACCAAGGCGCUUGAGAGAACUCGGGUGAAGGAACUAGGCAAAAUGGUGCCGUAACUUCGGGAGAAGGCACGCUGACACGUAGGUGAAGUGAUUUACUCAUGGAGCUGAAGUCAGUCGAAGAUACCAGCUGGCUGCAACUGUUUAUUAAAAACACAGCACUGUGCAAACACGAAAGUGGACGUAUACGGUGUGACGCCUGCCCGGUGCCGGAAGGUUAAUUGAUGGGGUCAGCGCAAGCGAAGCUCCUGAUCGAAGCCCCGGUAAACGGCGGCCGUAACUAUAACGGUCCUAAGGUAGCGAAAUUCCUUGUCGGGUAAGUUCCGACCUGCACGAAUGGCGUAAUGAUGGCCAGGCUGUCUCCACCCGAGACUCAGUGAAAUUGAACUCGCUGUGAAGAUGCAGUGUACCCGCGGCAAGACGGAAAGACCCCGUGAACCUUUACUAUAGCUUGACACUGAACAUUGAGCCUUGAUGUGUAGGAUAGGUGGGAGGCUUUGAAGUGUGGACGCCAGUCUGCAUGGAGCCGACCUUGAAAUACCACCCUUUAAUGUUUGAUGUUCUAACGUGGACCCGUGAUCCGGGUUGCGGACAGUGUCUGGUGGGUAGUUUGACUGGGGCGGUCUCCUCCUAAAGAGUAACGGAGGAGCACGAAGGUUGGCUAAUCCUGGUCGGACAUCAGGAGGUUAGUGCAAUGGCAUAAGCCAGCUUGACUGCGAGCGUGACGGCGCGAGCAGGUGCGAAAGCAGGUCAUAGUGAUCCGGUGGUUCUGAAUGGAAGGGCCAUCGCUCAACGGAUAAAAGGUACUCCGGGGAUAACAGGCUGAUACCGCCCAAGAGUUCAUAUCGACGGCGGUGUUUGGCACCUCGAUGUCGGCUCAUCACAUCCUGGGGCUGAAGUAGGUCCCAAGGGUAUGGCUGUUCGCCAUUUAAAGUGGUACGCGAGCUGGGUUUAGAACGUCGUGAGACAGUUCGGUCCCUAUCUGCCGUGGGCGCUGGAGAACUGAGGGGGGCUGCUCCUAGUACGAGAGGACCGGAGUGGACGCAUCACUGGUGUUCGGGUUGUCAUGCCAAUGGCACUGCCCGGUAGCUAAAUGCGGAAGAGAUAAGUGCUGAAAGCAUCUAAGUACGAAACUUGCCCCGAGAUGAGUUCUCCCUGAGACUUUAGGUCUCCUGAAGGAACGUUGAAGACGACGACGUUGAUAGGCCGGGUGUGUAAGCGCAGCGAUGCGUUGAGCUAACCGGUACUAAUGAACCGUGAGGCUUAACCUUACAACGCCGAAG
rnacentral:rRNA from 1 species